rnacentral:miRNA from 1 species
GAAGAAAUCCUACUCAGAUGUAUAUAAUACAACCUGGUAAGUGGCCCAGCACUUACCAGGUUGUACUAUCAUUGUUUGCACCUAUGGCUCUCAUC